AUGGCUCGCGGCGAUCAUCAAGACGAUGAUGAUGAUUUCAUGGAGUUACCGCAACAGAAUCGUGCAACUGGACGGACAAAAGAUGGCGAUGAGAAGAAGAAACGUUAUCGCAAUAGGGCUUCACAAGAACGCCUGACUAUAUUGACCGAGGGCUUUACUGACGAGCAGAAGGGAGCUGCUGCUGAGAUGGGGAUGCAGGCUCUGAUGGAUGUUCGGUGCAAGAACCUAGUGAACCCUGUAUGCGACUGGCUCGGUGAGAUUUACGAUACUGCCUCCAGGGAAUUUGUGAUUCCGGGACGUGGAAGACUGCCGUUGGACGAGGAAUCCGUGUUCUGCACUUUAGGUGUGCCCCGUGGAGAAAUCGAAGUCCCGUACAAGAGCAUGAAAACCCAUGGUGAGGUUUUCAAGAUGAAGCUACUCAUGUACUCGAUCUCAGCUGUCUUUGCGCCUACCACAUCUCUUCGCCCAAACAACAAGUGCUUCCUGAUUCUUACGACGAGUGAAGCUGAAAGACGUGAAGAAUAUGAAUUGGUGUAA
rnacentral:rRNA from 1 species